AUGAACGCUGGCGGCGUGCUUAAUACAUGCAAGUCGAACGGAAACAGUAGCAAUAUUGUUUUAGUGGCGAACGGGUGAGUAACGCGUUGGUGACCUGCCCCGAAGAGAGGGAUAACAGUUCGAAAGGAUUGCUAAUACCUCAUGUGGUCAUAUGGUUUAGAAGCUUAUGACUAAACGGAUUUAUUCGCUUCGGGAGGGGCCUGCGUCCCAUCAGCUAGUUGGUAAGGUAAUGGCCUACCAAGGCGAUGACGGGUAGGGGACCUGAGAGGGUGGCCCCCCACAAUGGAACUGAAACACGGUCCAUACACCUACGGGUGGCAGCAGUAGGGAAUAUUGCACAAUGGACGAAAGUCUGAUGCAGCAACGCCGCGUGUGCGAUGAAGGCCUUCGGGUUGUAAAGCACUUUUAUGAGGGAAGAGCAAGGACUGUACCUCAUGAAUAAGGAUCGGCUAACUACGU
rnacentral:rRNA from 1 species